rnacentral:rRNA from 1 species
AACGAACGCUGGCGGCAUGCCUAACACAUGCAAGUCGAACGAGACCUUCGGGUCUAGUGGCGCACGGGUUCGUAACGCGUGGGAACCUGCCCUUGGGUUUGGCAUAACUCUCCGAAAGGGGUGCUAAUACCGGAUCAUGUCUUCGGACCAAAGAUUUAUCGCCGUUGGAUGGGCCCGCGUUGGAUUAGCUAGUUGGUAGGGUAAAAGCCUAACAAGGCGACGAUCCAUAGCUGGUUUGAGAGGAUGGUCAGCCACACUGGGACUGAGACACGGCCCAGACUCCUACGGGAGGGAGCAGUGGCGAAUAUUGGAAAAUGGGCGAAAGCCUGAUCCAGCAAUGCCGCGUGAGUGAUGAAGGCCUUAGGGUUGUAAAGCUCUUUUAACCGGGAUGAUAAUGACAGUACCGAGAGAAUAAGCUCCGGCUAACUCCGUG